UGGCACGAAUGAUGAUUCAAUUAGAUGUGUUAAAGGAGAAUUCCUUUAUGAACUCACUUAUUGAGGCAUAUGUAAUUGUCUGACUUAUUGCCA